CCUACGGGUGGCUGCAGCAAGGAAUUUUCCCCAAUGGGCGCAAGCCUGAGGGAGCAACGCCGCGUGCAGGAUGACGGCCUUCGGGUUGUAAACUGCUUUUGCUGGGGACGAUAGUGACGGUACCCGGCGAAUAAGCCCCGGCUAACUCCGUGCCAGCAGCCGCGGUAAGACGGAGGGGGCAAGCGUUGUCCGGAAUCACUGGGCGUAAAGCGCACGUAGGCGGGACGGUGCGUCGGUGCUGAAAGCGCCAGGCUUAACCUGGCGAGGCGUGCCGA
rnacentral:rRNA from 1 species